GCCCCUGCCCCUACCCGCCGGCGACCAGAGCCGGGCUCUCCCCGCCUGCCGCCGCCCGCGCCCCCAUGAGGCCGGAGCCGCUGCCCGCCGCCCGCUGGCGCCCGUGACGAGCUCGCCGGGAGGUCGCGCCGCCCCCGCCGCGGGCGCCCCGGCCCCACCGGACCGUUUUUAAGCCUCCGCCAGCGGGAGGGAAGUUGUCGUCCCGUCCCGUCCCGUCCCCCCCCCCCCGCCCGCCCCCCGUUGCCCCUUCCCGCCCUCGCCCUCCCUCCGGUUCCUGCACCGAGAGUGAGAAAAGCACAACCUCAGGGAGACCUGGCCCUGCGCACAGAUACCUGCUGAGCCCCGGACAAGGAAACCGGCCCCUUCCUUCGUCCUCCAGCGCUGGGGCCGUGGGCGUCGGAAGCCUUCAGACCCUCCGUGUGGCCGGCAGGCACCUGUCCCGCCUGGAGGCAGCUCUCCUAGACCAGCCAGCCCCCCUCCGCCUCAAGUACAUUUUGUGGACAUAAGCAUUUUUUUAACUUUUUAAAGAACUCGGGUUUUGGUUUUUGGGGUUUUUUUUGUUUGUUUGUUUGGUUUUUUUUUUCCUGGGAUUUUUACGAGCUUCCCCUCAGUUGAUUUCCUGCUUCUCCCACCUCAGAUAGCACUGGCUCUGUUUUUCCUGGUACUGUAGUAUGGGGAUCGAAUCAAAAUUGAGAUUUUAAGUACUGCAGGAGCCCUCAAGUCCAUCCACCUGUUAAAAGUGAGCAGUGUUGUUUCUGUCUUUAUUCUUUUCCCCCCACGUCGCCUGUCGGAUGUGAUGGAACUCAUGUUCGCAGAGUGGGAGGACGGGGAGAGGUUUUCAUUUGAAGACUCCGAUCGCUUUGAAGAAGACUCUCUUUGUUCCUUCAUCUCUGAGGCAGAGAGCCUUUGCCAGAACUGGAGAGGAUGGAGGAAGCAAUCGGCUGGACCCAAUUCUCCCACUGUCAAAAUGAAAGAUGGGCUGGUGAUCCCAUUGGUGGAACUGUCUGCAAAACAGGUUGCAUUUCACAUUCCAUUCGAGGUGGUGGAGAAAGUUUAUCCUCCAGUGCCUGAGCAACUGCAGCUUCGAAUCGCCUUCUGGAGUUUCCCAGAAAAUGAGGAAGAUAUCAGAUUGUAUUCAUGUUUGGCGAAUGGCAGUGCAGAUGAGUUCCAGCGAGGGGAGCAGCUGUUCCGGGUGAGGGCUGUCAAAGACCCUCUCCAGAUAGGUUUCCAUCUAAGUGCCACUGUGGUACCCCCACAGAUGGUGCCACCCAAAGGUGCGUACAACGUGGCGGUGAUGUUUGACCGAUGCAGGAUCACGUCAUGUAGCUGUACCUGUGGAGCUGGGGCCAAGUGGUGUGCUCACGUCGUGGCGCUCUGCCUCUUCCGGAUACACAAUGCAUCUGCGGUAUGCUUACGAGCACCUGUUUCUGAGUCCUUGUCUCGGCUACAAAGAGACCAAUUGCAAAAAUUUGCUCAGUACCUAAUCAGUGAACUUCCACAACAGAUUCUUCCAACAGCUCAGCGCUUGCUGGAUGAGCUGUUAUCUUCUCAGUCUACUGCCAUCAACACAGUGUGUGGAGCCCCAGAUCCCACUGCUGGACCCUCUGCAUCAGAUCAAAGCACCUGGUACUUAGAUGAAUCUACUCUGAGUGACAACAUAAAGAAAACCCUUCAUAAAUUCUGUGGACCCUCUCCUGUUGUUUUCAGUGAUGUGAAUUCAAUGUAUCUCUCUUCCACGGAGCCACCAGCUGCUGCUGAGUGGGCCUGUCUUCUGCGUCCCCUGCGAGGAAGAGAGCCUGAAGGAAUCUGGAACCUGCUUUCCAUUGUGCGGGAGAUGUUUAAGAGACGGGAUAGCAAUGCAGCUCCUUUGCUGGAGAUUCUGACUGACCAGUGUCUCAACUAUGAGCAGAUAACCGGCUGGUGGUACAGUGUGCGAACAUCUGCAUCACACAGCAGUGCUAGCGGGCACACAGGACGCAGCAAUGGCCAGUCAGAAGUAGCUGCUCAUGCUUGUGCAAGUAUGUGUGAUGAGAUGGUUGUUCUUUGGAGGCUGGCUGUCCUUGACCCAACUGUUAGUCCACAGAGGCGCAGGGACCUUUGCUCACAGCUCAGACAGUGGCAGCUGAAAGUCAUAGAUAAUGUUAAGAGGGGUCAGCACAAGAAAUCACUGGAGAAGCUCUUCCAGGGUUUCAAGCCAGCUGUGGAAGCCUGUUACUUCAACUGGGAGGAAGCUUAUCCCAUUCCUGGGAUCACAUAUAGCAGCACUGACAAAAAGAACUCAUUCUGUUGGGUAAAGGCCAUCCAGCAGAGGAGUUGCCGGUUGCAGUGUACAGAAACUGCCUGUGAGACUGGUAGAACCCAUGGACAGGAGCCCGGGGGACCAUGUCUGCAGCCUGGGGACAGGCUGCGUCCCUCUCCCCAAGAGCCAGCAGUUCGUCCAAAGGAACUUACUGGAAAGCGGAAAGUUGUCUCUGAAACGCCACAGAGGGUUCUGAGACGGCUUUCAGCAGAAGGUGAUAAAGCUGUGUACAAGACUGCAGCGGGCAAAGCAAAGUUGCCAGUGAGCAAAGGCUUGACCAGUAAACAUAGUGGGAAACGCCGCAUGAGCAGUGAAGACAGCUCUCUGGAGCCAGACUUGGCAGAGAUGAGCCUGGAUGACAGCAGCUUGGCUCUGGGGGCAGAAGCCAGCAACACAUUUAGUUUUACAGAAAGCCCACUGAGCAGGAGCUACAGGGACACCUUUGAGGAGGAUGGUGGGGUGUACUUCUCUGAGGGACCUGAGCCCAGUGUCAGGAGCAGUUCCAUGGCCAAGAAAUCGCCCAAGGAUCCUGUGGGGGAAAUGGGUAGUGGUGAUGAUGACCUCCCUUCUGCAGAUGAGAACAGCGGUGGUGUGAGCCUGAAGCCAGAAGAAGUGGGAGACAAUGGUGCAGCAGGGGGUGGGGAUGAUGGAGAAGACGACGAUGAUUACCAGGUAUACUAUCUGAAUCCACAAGAGGUAGCCAAGGAAGAUGAUGACAAAGCUGAAGGGGGAAAUGAAGAGGAGCAGGAUAUAUUUGCUGGUAUAAAGCCUCUGGAGCAGGAGAACCGGAUGGAGAUCCUGUUUGCCUGUGCAGAGGCCCUGUAUGCACAUGGAUACAGUAAUGAUGCAUGCCGCUUAACUGUAGAGCUUGCCAGGGACCUACUGGCCAACCCUCCAGAUCUCAAAGUGGAGCAGCCACCAACUAAGGGCAAAAAGAACAAGGUAUCAACCAGCAAGCAGACAUGGAUGGCAACCAACACCUUGUCUAAAGCUGCUUUCUUGUUGACUGUGUUGAGUGAGCGGCUGGAGUACCACAACCUGGCCUUUCGAAUAGGAAUGUUUGCUCUGGAGCUGCAGAGACCACCUGCCUCUACAAAGGCUCUGGAGGUGAAGCUGGCAUAUCAGGAGUCUGAGAUUGUAGCCCUCUUGAAGAAGAUUCCCUUGGGCACUAAUGAGAUGAACACUAUUCGAGGAAGAGCUGAGGAACUGCGAGAAGGGACACUAUGCGAUUACCGUCCUGUCCUGCCUCUGAUGUUGGCUAGCUUUAUAUUUGAUGUCCUGUGCACUCCAGUGGUUUCUCCUACAGGCUCUAGACCCCCAAGCCGUAAUUGGAAUAAUGAAAUGCCUGGAGACGAAGAGCUUGGUUUUGAGGCAGCUGUUGCUGCUCUUGGCAUGAAAACAACUGUCAGUGAAGCAGAACAUCCUCUGUUGUGUGAAGGCACCCGAAGGGAGAAAGGGGAUCUGGCACUAGCCCUGAUGAUUACUUACAAGGAUGAUCAGUCUAAGCUGAAGAAGAUUUUAGACAAACUCCUGGACAGAGAGAGUCAAACUCAUAAACCACAGACUCUGAGUUCCUUCUACUCAUCCAGCAAGCCUACAGUAGCAAACCAAAAAUCUCCUUCCAAACACGCUGCCCAGUCCACUGCAGCUAUCCAGCAGCUUCCAGGGACUUCUGUCACUCAGCAAGCUACUGUAAGCACUGCAGUCCAGAGCAGUCCUGAGAACUUUGGAGAGAAGAGUGCACAGGAGAGCUCUCAGAGGUCCCCCUGUGAGCCAGCUGCGGAGGCCACUGUCUUGAAACAAGAGGGAAAGGUCCCCAGUCGUCUGGCCCUUGGAAACCGAGGUGGAUACAAUGGGAGAUGCUGGGGUUCACCUGUCAGGCAGAAGAAGAAACACACAGGCAUGGCUAGUAUUGACAGCAGUGCUCCUGAAACCACUUCUGACAGUUCUCCAACACUCAGUCGGCGUCCGCUACGUGGGGGAUGGGCAACAACAUCGUGGGGCAGAGGACAGGACAGUGACAGCAUCAGCAGUUCUUCAAGUGAUUCGCUGGGAUCUUCCUCUUCCAGUGGCAGUAGGAGAGCCAGUGGGGGAGCCCGUGCAAAGACUGUGGAAGUUGGCAGGUAUAAAGGGAGACGGCUGGAGAGCCAUGCUCCUCACGUCCCAAACCAGCCCUCAGAGGCAGCUGCUCACUUCUACUUUGAAUUGGCCAAGACAGUCCUUAUCAAAGCAGGUGGAAACAGCAGUACCUCUAUCUUCACCCACCCUUCCUCCAGUGGUGGGCACCAGGGACCACACCGCAACCUUCAUCUCUGCGCCUUCGAGAUUGGGCUGUACGCACUAGGGCUGCACAACUUUGUGUCUCCCAACUGGCUCUCUCGAACUUACUCCUCUCAUGUCUCUUGGAUCACAGGGCAGGCCAUGGAGAUCGGUAGCGCAGCCUUGAACAUCUUGGUGGAGUGUUGGGAUGGACAUCUGACUCCCCCAGAGGUGGCAUCAUUGGCAGACAGAGCUUCACGGGCCAGAGACUCCAACAUGGUGCGGGCAGCUGCUGAACUGGCACUCAGCUGCCUGCCCCAUGCCCAUGCCCUGAACCCAAAUGAGAUCCAGAGGGCUCUGGUGCAGUGCAAGGAACAGGAUAAUCUGAUGCUGGAAAAGGCCUGUAUGGCAGUAGAAGAGGCAGCCAAAGGAGGUGGCGUGUACCCAGAAGUCCUGUUUGAAGUAGCUCACCAGUGGUACUGGCUUUACGAACAGACUGUUGGUGGGACCCCAGCCCAGAGAGAAGGUGCCACUGGCUGCAGUGCCAGUGGUGCACGGGCUGCCUCUGAAGCGGCACGUGGGUUGACAGACAACCGGGUGACCUCUGAGCCGACCACUGUAACAGUGGCAGCUGCGGUAACUGCGGCAGCAACAGUCAUGCCGGUGAUCUCUGUUGGGUCGACCAUGUACCAGCAGCAUACAAUGGCAGGGCCAGCAAUGGCACAUACGCACACGCAGGGUCUCCAUCCUUACACCACCCUUCAGACUCACAUCCCCUGUAAUCCCCAGUAUAUUGGACACACUAUCCAGCACAUGCCGCGCCCAGCUGUCUUCCCGGUCCCUGGCUCGGCGUACCCACAGGGUGUCCAUCCAGCAUUCAUAGGAGCGCAGUACCCUUAUUCAGUAACAACACCGUCAUUGGCAGCUACAGCAGUGUCAUUCCCCGGUGUGCCCGUCCCAUCCAUGACGCAGAUUGCAGUGCAUCCCUAUCACAGUGAGACAGGACUGUCACUGUCUUCCAAUGUAGCGAUAGGAAGUGUCCAUGCAGGAUCAACGUUCCCAGCGAUUCAGGGGGCUUCCUUGACAACUCUGUCCUCACAGCCCAACUCCCUUGUUACAGGGAGUUUUCCUGCCGAGGAUGAGCAGCACAGUCAGCCUGUGAGCCCCCAGGGUCUGCACUACCUCCACUCCGCAUACCGAGUUGGGAUGCUGGCUCUGGAGAUGCUUGGCCGAAGAGCUCACAACGACCAUCCCAACAACUUCUCCCGCAGCCCACCCUACACGGAGGAUGUAAAAUGGCUCCUUGGGUUAGCUGCAAAGUUAGGUGUAAACUACGUGCAUCAGUUUUGCGUUGGUGCGGCCAAGGGGGUGCUGAGCCCUUUUGUGCUCCAGGAGAUCAUCAUGGAAGCUCUACAGAGGCUCAACCCUGCCCAUGUGCACAACCACCUGCGCACCCCAGCCUUCCACCAGCUGGUGCAGAGGUGCCAACAGGCCUACAUGCAGUACAUCCAUCAUCGGCUGAUCCAUCUCACUCCAGCUGACUACGAUGACUUUGUGAAUGCCAUCCGCAGCGCCAGAAGCGCCUUCUGCCUGACUCCCAUGGGCAUGAUGCAGUUUAAUGAUGUUCUCCAGAACCUAAAACGCAGCAAGCAGACAAAGGAGCUGUGGCAAAGGGUCUCUCUGGAAAUGACCACCUUCUCGCCAUGACAGCAGUCCGAUGGAGCUGGCCAGUUGUGUGUCAGUGGGAGCUCCUGCGAGCCUUGGUAAAUAGCUGUCCUGGUUUGGGGAACAGCAGUCCAGCACAAGGGAGGUGGCCAGAGGUUUUACACAAGCUGUGAGCCAAUGGUUUCUUGUAUGGUACUGCUAUGAGAAUGACAUGCCUCUGCAGAGGCUGAGCCCUCAUACAGAUUGCACUGCUUCCAUAUGACAGACCCUGUCAGAGUUGUCUUCCAGCAGCUGCAGAGCCCAAACAGAGGAAGAGCCAGGGAAUCUCACCUCAGGCUGACAUUGACUGAACAAGCAGCUCGGUGGUAUGAGGCACAGGUCGGUUGUUUCAGAAGUUUCUAGUCUUUUCUCUGAAGAAGUUCCUCAGAGUGAGCAGACAGAGAUGGGAGCUGUGUGGAGGUGCUAUACCCUCAUUUAUUCAGGUCUUCCAGAACACACUUUCAGUCUUGGAUCUCUGCAUCUGUGUAUCUGUUGUCAUUCCUGAGCCAUAUCCCAUGGAAAUAUAUGUGAGCCAGGACAGGAGAAAGUAGAAAGUGAGAAAGGAGAUGGUGAUGUUUUUUCUCGCCAUGUGGCUGGGAGGUUCUUGAGGUAUUUUUCUUUUAUGAGAGAUGAGAUGAGCCCUGGUGGCCCCAGAAGCAUUAAUCUACUAUUAAGGCAGAAAAAUUAUUACCCAGUGCAGUCUUGUUAGUUUGGUCACUGUUCCAGGAAUGGGGAAAAUACUGAGGCUCAGAAGUUCUGAAAAGACAUUUCAGAAGAUGACCUGUAAGAGAGCAGAGGUUGCAGCCAACUCAAAUUUCCUUUGACUUCAGUUAAUCCAUGUGUUUUUUCACUCAGAGUAAAUGUUCUCUAGGUCCUCACACUUACCAGCAACACGUGAAGUAGCUGCAGUGAAGGCCAGCUGCCACAGCAGCUGGAUGCUUUAGAGCUCUUCUAGAAAUGGUUUUACAUAGCUGAGAAGCUGUUCUCUGUGUUGGCUACCACCUCUUCCCAGGCUGGGCAGCAAAUGCUGAAUUUAGUCAGUACUAAUAGCUACAGGUAUUUGUCUGGAUAGGGCCUGGCCCCCACUUGCAUGAAGACAGAUGAUAUUCUGUGAUGGGUUAUUGCAAUGGGUUAUUGUCACGUUUGGUGAAGUCUAAUUCACUGUCUGUUCCUUGAAGGUAAGAUGAAUGAGGUCUUCAGACUACUUCCUGUGUUCUCUGUUCAUAAUGACUUGCUUUCACUUGCCAGAUUUGUUUCCUCUUGUGACCACAGGAAUUAUACUUUCCCUUUUAGCUUUUAGUGUCUCUGGAAAUAACAGCUCACUUCAGUAGGGAGUUGGAGAAGUCAAAUUUGUAUGGGUGCAGGUGAAACCAGCUGAGAAAUGGCUGAUGUCUUUACUGCAAGAUACCUGUAGGGCGGUUUUCACUGUCCUGCUAGUGUUGAAGAUCAAACUGCUUAAUAGUCCUAAUUAGGGCAGUGCGCUAAGAGCAGCCUUGUACUCUGAGUUAACCCACUGUCUGCACUUGAAGUUUCAUGGGUACUUGAGCUAAACAAUCUGGCAUGGUGCACAGAUGUGCAUUUUGAUGCUUUGUCCAAGAAUCAGUACACGCAGAUAAAAGCAGAUGGUGUUCCAGUGUUAGGAUACUUACAAGCAGCUCCUUAAAGAUGGAAAUUCCUUCUGUGUCUCAUUUUAUAUAUAUAUAUCUACACAGUGGGGGCCAUAUAUAAAAAAAUGUCAGGGAGAGGGUGUGAGAAGAUACAGAUGAGGUACUGUAAGUGAAAGGGCCUUCCCCCCCCCCUUCCCUGAGGACAUUAGUGGGUGGCCACGUAGUGUCUUUACCCUUGUCUUUACCCUUUACCCUUGUCUUUGUAUGCACUCUUACCCUGUAUCUGAGACAGCAGUGUUUCUAGAACUUAACCUGUUGAUCCCUGCAGAGUUUCUGAGUGUUCAGGGGUAAAAUCUUGGCAUUAGUGUAGUUGGUAGAAGACAUGCCAACAUUGCAUCUGGACUUUUGGCUGUUUGGCUCGUUGGAAGGAAUAGUGUGACUUUUGCUCUUACAGAAUGGAUAAAAUAAAGGUUUUAGUCAUUGCAAGCCUUAUUCCUUGGAAGACAUCUCGUGCUGCAGGUACCCUUUUUCUGUGUAGAUCAGGCAUGCCAACCUCUGAGAGGGCCGAUUCCCCUCCUUCCUCUCUGGACAUCCUCACCUACAACUAUCUUUCUUGCCUGUGGAAGUUUUCCUUUGGAAGCACUUUCCAGGAAUAUGAGUUAGCAGAACAGUAUUUGCCUUUGGACUUCAGUGUCUUUACAGCCCAUGAACAAAUUGAGUUGGAGUUGUCAUCUGAUGAAGCAACGUGCCUAGCAACAGGUACAGCUGCAGUUAGCUGAAAAGUGUGUUUCUGUCUAGUUUUCUUUACUGUCAUUAAUAUUUAUUUGGGAUAUGUAUUUUUCAUUCAGAAGUAGCCUCCUGGGGAGUUGUUGAACCUGAACUGUUUAAUUCUUUGCGUGGGUUUGGAUUUUAUCAAGCCUAGCACUGUUGUAUUUUGGAGCAGAAUACAGGCUUUUACGUUCCCAGCUUAUUUAGCACUAGCUCGGCUAUGGCUACACAGUGCUAGAGUGCACUGGACAGCCUUGCAAACCCCAGAGUCAAUGGAAAUGGAGUAAGCGUUGAAGUAUCUAUAAAGUUUAUCACCACCUCCUGCUAUAAAUCAGUCAGCUGUAACAGGACAUCAAUUUGAAAUUGUUUUAUGUAGGAGUUGGCAAGUUGUAUUUUUCUUACCUAGGCAUUAAGAGAAAGGCAGGGUAUUAAAAUGAAUUUUCCAGGAUGCAUCUGGGGGGAAGCGUGCCGAAACAGAAGUGUGCUUACAGUCUGCUACUGAUGCCUUUCCUUUUUUCAGCUUAGUUUAAAAAAAAAAAAAAAAAAAAAAGCA